GACGAACGCUGGCGGCGUGCUUAACACAUGCAAGUCGAACGAUGAACUUGGAGCUUGCUCUGGGGGAUUAGUGGCGAACGGGUGAGUAACACGUGAGUAACCUGCCCUGGACUCUGGGAUAACUUCGAGAAAUCGGAGCUAAUACCAGAUAGGACCUUGCACCGCAUGGUGUGGGGUGGAAAGUUUUUCGGUUUGGGAUGGACUCGCGGCCUAUCAGCUUGUUGGUGAGGUAAUGGCUCACCAAGGCGUCGACGGGUAGCCGGCCUGAGGGGGUGACCGGCCACACUGGGACUGAGACACGGCCCAGACUCCUACGGGAGGCAGCAGUGGGGAAUAUUGCACAAUGGGCGCAAGCCUGAUGCAGCAACGCCGCGUGCGGGAUGGCGGCCUUCGGGUUGUAAACCGCUUUUAGUAGGGAAGAAGCCUUCGGGUGACGGUACCUGCAGAAAAAGGACCGGCUAACUACGUGCCAGCAGCCGCGGUAACAC
rnacentral:rRNA from 1 species